UACGUAGGGACCAAGCGUUGUUCGGAUUUACUGGGCGUAAAGGGCGCGUAGGCGGCAAUUCAAGUCAGUUGUGAAAUCUCCGAGCUUAACUCGGAACGGUCAACUGAUACUGUUUUGCUAGAGUGCAGAAAGGGCAACCGGAAUUCUUGGUGUAGCGGUGAAAUGACGUAGAUAUCAAGAGGAACACCUGAGGCGAAGGCGGGUUGCUAGGCUGACACUGACGCUGAGGCGCGAAAGCUAGGGUAGCAAACGGG
rnacentral:rRNA from 1 species